rnacentral:lncRNA from 1 species
CAGAGACAUAGAGGGAGAAGCAGGCUUCGUGCGGGGAACCUGAUGUGGGACUCCAUCCCAGGACCCCAGGAUCAUGCCCUGAGCCGAGGGGAGAUGCUCAACCACUGAGUCACCCAGGUGCCCCCAAUUAGAGGUUUUAAAAACUCAUCACCUAAGAGCAAGGCCUAAAUACCUUGUGGUUUGGAGUCAAGGUUUAGAAAACAAUGAAAGAUGAAAUGCUUGGAAAUGUGGUAAUUGUCUGGGAAAACCAGCCUGGCACUUAUUAUUCAGCAAAUGCACCCCACGAAGCCUCCUGCAGUUGCAUCCCAACUCCUACACCCACUCCUACACCCACACCCACACCCACACGUGAACACAUGAGUCCCAUUUUACACAAGUACUGCUUCGUUUGCAUCGUUUUGUAGUGUCCCCUUCUUAAAUAAAAAAAUUGAUAAUAAAAUGUGCCUAACUUUUAACUCAACACAGUCAGCCGCGACAUAACAGGGCCAAACCCUGACCAAAUGCAUGUGCUUCGUGCUCCACCUGGGGCCGCAAACCCAGGUUCUCUGGAUUGGAAGAAGAAACGCGCCUCAGAGCAGAAGCAGGUUGCAGCUGGUGGCCGUGCUGAUGACCCCAGUGCCUUCCCCCAGUCCAUCCAUGCAGGGAACGCCCGGAAGGGACACUGAGGCAAUCAGGGACCAGCCAGCCAGUCGAGAAGAGAAGUCACCUGCAAGUACCAGCAACUGCUGCUGGUAUGUCAGUUGUAGCAAGAAAGUUAAGAGGAGGAGGACCUCAGUAAGAAAAUCUUUAAGAGGAAGUAGAAACUUCUGAAUGGUUCAUCAUCUGAAGUCAUUCCUGUGAGUUAAGGAUUGCUGACCCUAGAAGAAUGUAAAUGCUUCCCAGGAAGUGGAACAUCGUGUUGCGAACAUUUUGUAUGUAAGUCGUGUUUUUCUACUGAUCGGUGGGACCCAGGCAGAGAAACUGGAACUUUUGAAUGAGUCCUUUCAAAUAAUGGGAAAAAUUCUCCCCUACGGACCUAUUUUCUGUAUGAGCACUUAAACCCCAUUUUUGUGACACCAACCACUCUUCCUGAAAAAUAAAACAUGACCAAUUUUAGGAUCCAUACGAGAGAUAAUCCAAAAGUUCAGCUCACAAAGUUGGGGGGAAAAAAGGCCCAAGCUGAAAUCUAAAAAGCUUUACAUUAUCACAACCACCAUCACCUAAAGGAGGGCUGGCUAGCUCCUCAGUCGUGUGGUAUUAACCCACCACUCUCACUGCUUCAUUCAUAAAAUGCUUUGGGAUUCUAAAUGAUUUUUCUACAAAAGCUCAGCAUCACCAGUUUAUCCAGAAAAGGAGACAAAUCGAUUACAUCACCAUGGAAAAAUCUUCCAUUCCUUUUGAUUACUCACCUAGAUUAAGUUCUUCAAGGCCCCAGGGCAGGUGUUGAAAGGACAACACAAGUGAAAACCUUCCAAACUAUAAAAUACUUAUAGGGAGUCCAGCAAAGGAUUUCUAUUUCCCAUAAUGACCUCUUCAAUUUUUUUUUCAAAUAUCAAAUAUGCACUUUUUCAGAAAAGAGGUUUUUGGGGUGAUUCUCUUUGGCCAAUCAGCACAUGCCUGCUCUUCCCUUUUGCUGACCAGUCCCGUGCGGUUUCAUUAUGAAAGACAAUUUGCUCCAAAAAGUUGCCUCGCUGUCAGGAUUUCAGUUUCUCGGGAACAGGCUUACCAGUUGAUAAACAGGUUUUUAUUAAGUGUUUGCUAAUGCCCAGCACUGAGCUAAGUCUGGAAGGAAAUUCCAAGAAUUAGGAGCACCAAGAUAGUAAAGAGUUUAUAAUCUAGUAGAGAAAGAUCAUUUAGGUAAAAAAAAAAAAAAAAAAAAUGAGGCAAUGACCAAAUGUCAGUUGGGCAAGGUGAAUGUGGAAUUGAAGGUCUGGGAGGCCCUUUGGAAAGAAGUUGAACUUGUGGGUUUUUUGGUUUUUUUGUUUUUUAUUACUUACAUUUUAUUGUAUAUGUUGAGUAAAUAAUGUAUUGCCAUGGUUCAAAAAUCCAAAGAACUCCCUUUCUCCCGUGCCUUCAACUGCAACUUCCCUCCUUAAGGCAAUCAACAUUGGUGACUUUGCCUAUUUUUUCAGAGCUGUUUUAUGGAUGUGUAAAUAAAUACGAUAAAUUUUUCCUCCCCCGUUAGAGUUACAAAGUGUAGCUACUCUGCGCCUUGAAACAGAGUGGGAGUAGAGUUGGGUUAUUAAAAGUUGAGACUCUGGAGCCCGUGUUCCCUUCUUGGCUCUGUCAAUUUUUGCCAGGGGGACCUUGGGCAAAAGUCACAGAGGCAGUUUCCUGAUCUCCGCAAAGGAGGUAAAUAAGAGUACCUGCCUCUUAUGGUUCUUGCGAGGAUUAAACAAGCUAAUGUAUAUUAAAUGCCCAGAACAGGGCCCAGCAUGUAGAAAGCACCAUAAUACAGGUUGAAUUGUGCUAUUUUCUCUUAAUGUAUCUUACAAAUGGUUCCAUAUCAGCACGAAUAGAGGAAUUUAUUUACAAAUGCUUAAUAUUUCUUUGAAGGAUAU